AGGAGAAAUAAUAAAAAAAUUCCUUUCCAUGAUAAGAUACUUCACAUGUUUUAUAAGAAGUAGAAACCAUAGGGAACAUGGAUUUUGAGACAUCCUACGGGAUAAAAAUUGAUGAUACUUUUAAGAUUUAUGAUUAAAAUUUUAUAAAAUAUCAAUGGAUGAUUAGGAUGAAAUAUUGAAUAGUGAUAUAUGUCAAUAUCUUUACUUUCUCCUAAUAUUUAUAUGAAUAUAAUAUAAUAUUUAUAUUAAUAUUAAUAUUAUAAUAUUUGUUACUGCAAGC
rnacentral:lncRNA from 1 species